rnacentral:rRNA from 1 species
GGACUACCGGGGUAUCUAAUCCUGUUUGAUCCCCGCACUUUCGUGCCUCAGCGUCAGUUACUCCUUGGUAAGCUGCCUUCGCUAUCGGUGUUCUUGACGAUAUCUAAGCAUUUCACCGCUACACCGUCAAUUCCGCCUACCUCAUCAGUACUCAAGUCCCGCAGUAUCAAUGGCACCUCGACAGUUGAGCUGCCGUAUUUCACCACUGACUUAUGGGACCGCCUACGCACCCUUUAAACCCAAUAAAUCCGGACAACGCUUGCCACCUACGUAUUACCGCGGCUGCUGGCAC